rnacentral:rRNA from 1 species
UACGGAGGAUCCAAGCGUUAUCCGGAAUCAUUGGGUUUAAAGGGUCCGUAGGCGGUUUAAUAAGUCAGUGGUGAAAUCUGGUCGCUCAACGAUCAAACGGCCAUUGAUACUGUUAGACUUGAAUUAUUGUGAAGUAACUAGAAUAUGUAGUGUAGCGGUGAAAUGCUUAGAUAUUACAUGGAAUACCAAUUGCGAAGGCAGGUUACUAACAAUAUAUUGACGCUGAUGGACGAAAGCGUGGGGAGCGAACAGG